GUAGGGUGCAAGCGUUAAUCGGAAUUACUGGGCGUAAAGCGUGCGCAGGCGGUUUUGUAAGUCUGUCGUGAAGUCCCCGGGCUCAACCUGGGAAUUGCGAUGGAGACUGCAAGGCUAGAAUCUGGCAGAGGGGGGUAGAAUUCCACGUGUAGCAGUGAAAUGCGUAGAGAUGUGGAGGAACACCGAUGGCGAAGGCAGCCCCCUGGGUCAAGAUUGACGCUCAUGCACGAAAGCGUGGGGAGCAAACAGGAUUAGAUACCCUGGUAGUCCACGCCGUAAACGAUGUCAACUAGCCGUUGGGAGCCUUGAGCUCUUAGUGGCGCACUAACGCAUUAAGUUGACCGCCUGGGGAGUACGGCCGCAAGGUUA
rnacentral:rRNA from 1 species